rnacentral:lncRNA from 1 species
CUGGGCUGAGCUGGGUCACUGUGAGUCAACAUGCCCGAGUGCUGUGAACGUUAUGAGAGGGCCUUGUUGGGAACACGUGCUCCUGGGAAUCAGCCCUUCCCUCUGUCCUGUUCCCACUCCUCCCCGACGAUGCUCCUGCUCAGAACCCACUCCUCACCUCAGUGAAGCAACGCAGCGGGCACCCUGUGGACAAAGCUGGAUAUUGGCUCUGAAUAAAAGCGAAUCAUGGGGAAAAUCAGUGUCUCAGUAAAAUGGGGUUUUCUUAGUAGAGACCAGACUGUGAAGGACCUUGCUUCAUUCCAUCUUUGAGGAGGAUGAUGAUUCAGGGACAUUGGCCCAAGAUCAAAGUGGUAUUUUUAGGUUGUAUUUACUUAGCUAUUUGCCGUCUACCUCCUUAUUUCCAGGUAGCAACUUCCUUCUUAUAUCUGAGAUGUUUAAGAGAUGAUGAAACCAGCUUGCACACACUUCUCAAAGUGUGUUUGUUCGCAUCCAUUAUUUCACUGGGGACCGGCUAUUAUCCUCUCCAUUUUCUUUAUAAGGAUAUUGAAAGAGAGAUUAAAUAACUUGUUCAAGGCCGCAUAGCUAGUUAACAGCUGAACUAGGCUUAAAACCAACGUCUGAAGGCUCCUAUUCCAGUGGCAGCUGCUGUGUGCUUCUUCUGUUUUCCAUCAGUUUGGAAGGGAGCAUAAAGUCUACAGCCACAUGGGUGGGGUCAGCAGAAAGAUUGACCACCAAGCCUGAGGCAGGUGAGGCUGAUCUCCUGGGCACAGCCUCUCUGCACAGGAGUUCACAGAAGUGAUAUGAUCCAAAGUUGCUGAGGGAAAAGCCCUUAUUUGUGGAAUUAACGGCAGGUCUCUCUUGAGGUCAGAAUGAAUGUUAUUGACAUUAUUGUUUGUAUUGUGGUAAGGUAUACAUAAUGGAAAAUGUACCAUUUUGGCUGGACAUGGUGGCUCACGCCUGUAAU